CAGCCGCCGCGGUAAUACGAAGGGUGCAAGCGUUAAUCGGAAUUACUGGGCGUAAAGCGUGCGUAGGCGGUUUGUUAAGUCUGUUGUGAAAUCCCCGGGCUCAACCUGGGAAUGGCAAUGGAUACUGGCAAGCUAGAGUGUGUCAGAGGAUGGUGGAAUUCCCAGUGUAGCGGUGAAAUGCGUAGAGAUCGGGAGGAACAUCAGUGGCGAAGGCGGCCAUCUGGGACAACACUGACGCUGAGGCACGAAAGCGUGGGGAGCAAACAGGAUUAGAUACCCCCGUAGUCCCUGUCUCUUAUAC
rnacentral:rRNA from 1 species